UACAGAGGGGGCAAGCGUUGUUCGGAAUUACUGGGCGUAAAGGGCUCGUAGGCGGCCAACUAAGUCGGAUGUGAAAUCCCCAGGCUUAACCUGGGAACUGCAUCCGAUACUGGAUGGCUUGAAUCCGGGAGAGGGAUGCAGAAUUCCAGGUGUAGCGGUGAAAUGCGUAGAUAUCUGGAGGAACACCGGUGGCGAAGGCGGCAUCCUGGACCGGCAUUGACGCUGAGGCGCGAAAGCCAGGGGAGCAAACGGG
rnacentral:rRNA from 1 species